GAUGAACGCUGGCGGCGUGCCUAAUACAUGCAAGUCGAGCGAACAGACGAGGAGCUUGCUCCUCUGACGUUAGCGGCGGACGGGUGAGUAACACGUGGAUAACCUACCUAUAAGACUGGGAUAACUUCGGGAAACCGGAGCUAAUACCGGAUAAUAUAUUGAACCGCAUGGUUCAAUAGUGAAAGACGGUUUUGCUGUCACUUAUAGAUGGAUCCGCGCCGCAUUAGCUAGUUGGUAAGGUAACGGCUUACCAAGGCAACGAUGCGUAGCCGACCUGAGAGGGUGAGCGGCCACACUGGAACUGAGACACGGUCCAGACUCCUACGGGAGGCAGCAGUAGGGAAUCUUCCGCAAUGGGCGAAAGCCUGACGGAGCAACGCCGCGUGAGUGAUGAAGGUCUUCGGAUCGUAAAACUCUGUUAUUAGGGAAGAACAAAUGUGUAAGUAACUAUGUACGUCUUGACGGUACCUAAUCAGAAAGCCACGGCUAACUACGUG
rnacentral:rRNA from 1 species